ACGAACGCUGGCGGCGUGCUUAACACAUGCAAGUCGAACGGAAAGGCCCUGCUUUUGUGGGGUGCUCGAGUGGCGAACGGGUGAGUAACACGUGAGUAACCUGCCCUUGACUUUGGGAUAACCUCAGGAAACUGGGGCUAAUACCGGAUAGGAGCUCCUGCUGCAUGGUGGGGGUUGGAAAGUUUCGGCGGUUGGGGAUGGACUCGCGGCUUAUCAGCUUGUUGGUGGGGUAGUGGCUUACCAAGGCUUUGACGGGUAGCCGGCCUGAGAGGGUGACCGGCCACAUUGGGACUGAGAUACGGCCCAGACUCCUACGGGAGGCAGCAGUGGGGAAUAUUGCACAAUGGGCGGAAGCCUGAUGCAGCAACGCCGCGUGCGGGAUGACGGCCUUCGGGUUGUAAACCGCUUUCGCCUGUGACGAAGCGUGAGUGACGGUAAUGGGUAAAGAAGCGCCGGCUAACUACGUG
rnacentral:rRNA from 1 species